UACGAAGGGGGCUAGCGUUGUUCGGAAUUACUGGGCGUAAAGCGCGCGCAGGCGGCUAUCCAAGUCAGUGGUGAAAGCCCGGAGCUCAACUCCGGAACUGCCAUUGAAACUGUUUAGCUUGAGGACGAGAGAGGUGAGUGGAACUGCGAGUGUAGAGGUGAAAUUCGUAGAUAUUCGCAAGAACACCAGUGGCGAAGGCGGCUCACUGGCCCGAUACUGACGCUGAGGCACGAAAGCGUGGGGAGCAAACAGG
rnacentral:rRNA from 1 species